CCGUCCGUCCGUCCGUCCGUGCGGGUGCCGCACCGCCACGCCUCCCGGCCCGGGGCCGCGCAACGGGGCCGCGCGCGCGGCCAGCCGCCACCAGGAGCGUUAGCAGCCACAGACCUCUUUUGAAGCCGUGGACAGCCUGCCCCCCAACUCCAAAGACACAUGGGGUAUUUUUAGAGAUGGAAGGAAAGCAGCCUGUCUCCGGGGACCCAAGAUGAGACAUGAAAUGAUGAAAUCCCGGCCACAGUACAGAAGGAUGUCGGUGUCUGUCUGCAUACACUGAGGUAUUUUCUAGAUUGCCAGACACUUAUCGAUGGACUUAAGUCAACAACCCGUGGUCACCAAAGGAUCAGGGACAGACACCUUACGAUUCAAGGGCCUCCAGAAGGCAGCGGAUGACGCUCGAGCCAGGAGUCUAGAGACACGGCUUUACACGUCAACUUCUCCUACUCUCGCUGGGAACCUAAGACCUGGGAACUUUUCAGCGUUACAGUCUGUUAUCCGGGUACCACGUGGAAGUACCAGCUUCUGGAGCCAGACGUGACGGGCCGCACCUGUAAUCCCAGAACCCAGGAGGCAGACACGGAAGAACCGCUGCAGCUCGAAGCAGGCCUGGUUUGCACAGUGAGCCCCGGGGCCAGCAAGACCCAUAAGACCUGUCUCCACUGGCUUUCAAUUUUGUGACCAGUUAUAAGUACAAGAAAAAUGGCAUAAGUCAUGUUGGUCAACUCAUUUAAACUUACGUAUACAUUUUCUAAUAAACACUGAUAAACUUUC